rnacentral:tRNA from 1 species
UGGACUGUCGCCAAGUGGUAAGGCACCGGGUUUUGGCUCCGGCACGCGCAGGUUCGAAUCCUGCCAGUCCAA